rnacentral:rRNA from 1 species
UACAGAGGUGGCAAGCGUUGUUCGGAAUUACUGGGCGUAAAGGGCGCGUAGGCGGCCUUCUAAGUCGGACGUGAAAGCCCCAGGCUUAACCUGGGAACUGCGUCCGAUACUGGGAGGCUUGGAUUCGGGAGAGGGAUGCGGAAUUCCAGGUGUAGCGGUGAAAUGCGUAGAUAUCUGGAGGAACACCGGUGGCGAAGGCGGCAUCCUGGACCGGUAUUGACGCUGAGGAGCGAAAGCCAGGGAGCAAAGCGGG